UUGGAGGGCAAGUCUGGUGCCAGCAGCCGCGGUAAUUCCAGCUCCAAUAGCGUAUAUUAAAGUAGUUGCAGUUAAAAAGCUCGUAGUUGAAUUUCGGGAUCAAUUUAUCGGUCGUGCCAAUGGUAUGAACUGGUACAAUUGGUUUCUCCCUUCUGACGAAGCAUGAUGUCAUUAAUUUGGUGUCGUGGGGAAUCAGGACUGUUACUUUGAAAAAAUUAGAGUGUUAAAGCAAGCAUUAGCUUGAAUACAUUAGCAUGGAAUAAUGAAAUAGGACGUUUGAUCCUAUUUCGUUGGUUUCUAGGAUCGACGUAAUGAUUAAUAGGGAUAGUUGGGGGCAUUAGUAUUCAAUUGUCAGAAGUGAAAUUCUUGGAUUUAUUGAAGACUAACUACUGCGAAAGCAUUUGCCAAGGAUGUUUUCAUUAAUCAAGAACGAAAGUUAGGGGAUCGAAGACGAUCAGAUACCGUCGUAGUUUUAACCAUAAACUAUGCCGACUAGGGAUCGGAUGAUGUUAAUUUUUUAAUGACUCAUUCGGCGCCUUACGGGAAAC
rnacentral:rRNA from 1 species